UACGAGGGGGGCGAGCGUUGUUCGGAAUUAUUGGGCGUAAAGGGCGCGUAGGCGGUCGGAUAAGUCUUGUGUGAAAUCUUCGGGCUCAACUCGAAGUCUGCACAGGAAACUAUCUGGCUUGAGUGUGGGAGAGGUGAGUGGAAUUUCCGGUGUAGCGGUGAAAUGCGUAGAUAUCGGAAGGAACACCUGUGGCGAAAGCGGCUCACUGGACCAUUACUGACACUGAGGCACGAAAGCUAGGGGAGCAAACAGG
rnacentral:rRNA from 1 species